rnacentral:sRNA from 1 species
AAAAGAAGACAAAAAU